rnacentral:rRNA from 1 species
CAGACCUCUGAUCAGAAAAGACCACCCGCUGAGUUUAA